AUGGCCAAUUGGGAGGAAGCAUACAACCGACUCCCUAGGUUAUUGUUAGCUAUGGCCGCCACAAAUCCAGGCAUGGUUCACGUGGUUGAGCCUCAUGGGCACCAAACAUUGAUUCAUAACGGGAGGACCAUCCGAGUAUUUGGCCGUGCAUUUUGGGCCUUUGAGCAAUGCGUGAGGGCUUUUGAGCAUUGUCGGCCCGUUAUCGCCAUUGAUGGCACGUUCUUGACCGGACAAUACAAGGGCACUUUAUUGGUUGCAAUAGCAAGUGAUGCCAAUAACCGGGUGUUGCCUUUGGCUUUCGCUUUGGUUGAGGUGGAGAACAAUGAUAAAUGGGAGUGGUUCUUGCAUCAAUUGAGAACAAGGGUAUUACCGACUGAAAGGGAAAUUUGUGUCAUAUUGGAUCGCCAUCCAGGAAUUCUAAACGCGGUGGUGGUUGACAUUCCCAGACAUACAAAGUUGCACCAUCGAUGGUGCAUGAGGCACUUUUGUGCAAACUUCUAUAGGGCAUGUGGUAUCAAGGAGUUGGCCGAUGAUCUUCAAGAUUGUUGUCUCGCUUUCACCAACAAGCGGUUUGCCACAUUGUUCAAUGCAUUGCUCAGACACAAGAAACUUGACCCCGGUGGUCUUGAAUUUCUGAAUAGGAACAUUGUCGAAAGGAAUAUGUGGGCACGUGCUUUUGAUGAAGAUGGCCGGAGGUACGGUCAAAUGACAAGCAAUAUGGCAGAAUGCUUCAAUAAGGUGCUCAAGGGUGUACGUGCAUUACCCGUGACGGCAAUAGUUCAAUGCACAUUUGACAAGAUGAAUGGAUACUUUUUAAAGUACUCAAUGGAGACGGAUAAGCAGAUUGCUGGUGAGAACAAGGAUAAGCACAAGUACUAUUUCCCACCAAAGGUUGAAGAAUGGUUGGACUUUCAAUCACGAAAGGCAGACUCCCAAGAAGCUGUACUAUAUGACGACAACGAGUGGAAGUAUGAGGUCAAAGAGCCUGGAGUGUUUGUUCAAAUUGUUGUGAUGCUGCAGUCAUUUAAGUCAAAGUGCAGCGCCCAGAACACAGGCGCUGCACUAUACUGUGCAGCGCCCAAGGGAUAG
rnacentral:rRNA from 1 species